GACGAGAGCUAUGCUGUCUCUUCCGAAAUUAUUAAAAAUUAACUUUNAGGNGAAGAGGCCUAAAUUUAUUUAAGGGACAAGAAGACCCUGUUGAGCUUUAGUGAUCCUGUAAGUUUACACGCAGCUUAAUAACUGUUGUAUUUUUGUGUAUUUAUAUAUAACAUAAGUUUGUAGGUAAUCUUUAGUUGGGGCGACUGAGGAACAUUAAAAGCCUCCUUGAAUUUAGUAAUAAGUAAAAUUAUUUAAUUUUUUGAUGCAUUUAUGUUAAUUUUGAUCCAAUUUAUUUUGAUUAAGAGAAAAAGUUACCACAGGGAUAACAGCGUAAUCUUUCUGGAGAGAUCUAAUCAAAAGAAGGGUUUGCGACCUCGAUGUUGGACUAAGAUAUCCUGAGGGUGCAGAAGUUCUCAAAGGUUGGUCUGUUCGACCAUUAAAAUCUU
rnacentral:rRNA from 1 species